GAGAAAUCCUGUCUCCAAAAACACAAAAACCAAACUAAACCAAAGCCAAGAUGAUUAAAUUUUAUAGAAGAGAAUCUUCAAUUUUGAUCUUAAGCACUAUGACUCAGGACCUGGUCAGCUUACUAUUUGACAUUUCUUGAUUCAAGAGUUCCCUGUGUGUGCUGAAGAAAUUAAAAAAGGAUAAGAGUUUCCUGGGUCAAUAGGAAUGCCAAUAUGGCUAUACAAUUUUAGAAGGUUAACUAAGUCGUCUUGAAGACCUGAGGCUUUUAAAUUUAGAGGGAUAAAUUCCUUUCACCUUGGAAGCUUCUGGUGAAGUAGGAGUUGUUUCAUGUGAAAAAGAAGUAUGUCACUGGGCAGUGGUGGCACAUGCCUUUAAUCCUAGCACUUGGGAGGAAGAGGCAGGCAGAUUCUGAGUUCAAGGCCAGCCUGGUCUACAGAGUGAAUUCCAGGAUAGCCAGGGCUCUACAGAGAAACUCUGUCUCAAAAAACAAAAACAAAAACAACAACAACAAAAAACUUACGUCAGGAAUGACCAUGUUUUUGUAUAGGUUUCAGAUUCACAUAAUUUGGUGAUAGCAGACAAGCUGCGUUUCAAGUUAAUGAUUUUAGUACUGAUUAUGCCAUCUGAUUUAUUCAGUUUAUACAUGCUUUUAUUGUUUGAUUUUGAAGUUUUUAUUUUGUUUUAUAUUUGUAGCUCUGGGUAUAUAUGUAAUUAAAUAUAUAUGUAAAAAACAUAAACAGUGUAUGUUUGGUCUCAAGGUAAAACUCUGGGCCAUGCCAUGGGUUUAGUCCUUAUUACUGUUCUUCCUCUACCUGAAAUAUGUUAAAUGAUUAUGCUCAGAUAGGUUAGAGGAAAAGGAGUUUACAGUCUUAAAUAUAGAAUAGAAUAGAGUUUAAGCCACACAGUUAGAAGGACACAAGUCCAUGGUAUGGAUUACAUUGUAGUGGGCUCUGGUAUUUGUAAUAAUAUGUAGCUAAUAUCAAAUAGUUUAUGUCAUGGAUUAGUUCUCAGUUUUUUUUACAGUCUCUUUCCUGGGAGCUUUUUAAUAAGUAACCUAGAUGAAAGCUUCUCCCGUUGAGAGUCACUAUCGUAUUACUUGGGUGUGUAUUAAGAAAGCAGUUAAACAGGUAGAGCUAAUAAUGCCUUCCUGCCUUGUUUCAGAGAUACUGUAUCUGAUUUCUUCUAGAUUUUCAACCUCCUAUAAACUUUAGCAAAUUAUGUAUUUAAUCAGUAUAGUUCAGAAUUAAAUAUAAUAGCUUAGUUGGUAUUGAAACUAAUUUUCAGUGCGUACAGGCUUUAAAAAAAAUGUAGGAUUUCCCUCUAUGGAAAUAAGUAUAAUGUAGAUUUUUGGUUUGCACAAACAUCUGAAACUUUAUAUAUUUGUAAGUAAAUAACACAUAAUAUUAUAUUUUUAUUCUGUAAAACUUUACAAAAUCAGCUGGGCAGUGGUGGCACACGCCUUUAAUCCUAGCACUUGGGAGGCAGAGGCAGGCAGAUUUCUGAGUUCAAGGCCAGCCUGGUCUACAAAGUGAGUUCUAGGACAGCCAGGGCUACACAGAGAAACCCUGUCUCGAAAAACCAAAAAAAAAAAAAAAAAAA
rnacentral:lncRNA from 1 species